UAAUCCAUUACAACCAAAACAUACAAUCCAACUAAAAAGUAGGAAAGGGAAAGUCUCACAAAAGCAAAUUAAUUAAAGAAAUUAAACGCCCACAGAUAAACAAAAUAAGAUCAGAAAUAAAAACAAAGAAACACAUGAAUGAGGGGUUCCACAGUGUAUGCAAUUGGUUAUUACAUUGUUGGGAAGGAAGCACAAGAUAGGAUAAUGAAUCAAUUGAGUAUAUCCGUGAAUGGAGAAAUAACUUGAGCUUGCACUGUGUCCCAAACCAGUAUCCAGCAGCCACCUAGCGUUAAUUACACACCAUUGAUAUUGAAUAAAUGUUACAAAAUGCAUAGAGUUUUGUUUUGUCAUGUCAGUUUGUGUCUUCAGUCAAAAAUCAAAAUGAAGUCUAGAUUAUUCGUCCUAUAGCUUAUUGGCUUCAUUCUCUUUACCUAUAGUCUUGAAACUAUUCCCGGAACAGAAUACUGCAGCAUGUGUGCGUGUGCGUGUGCUUAUACGUACACCUAUUUUGUCAAAAGCAAAGCAAAAUAAACAAGACAUGCAGUGCCACUUUUUUUCUUUCUUUCUGAUUCUGUGUCCGUGUUUGUUCUGAAAAAAGGAAAUUUCAAUAUGUACGUUAUAAUUAUAUAUAAGAAAC
rnacentral:lncRNA from 1 species